rnacentral:rRNA from 1 species
UACAGAGGUCUCAAGCGUUGUUCGGAUUCAUUGGGCGUAAAGGGUGCGUAGGCGGCGCCGUAAGUCGGAUGUGAAAUCUCAGGGCUCAACCCUGAAACUGCAUUCGAUACUGCGGUGCUUGAGGACUGGAGAGGAGACUGGAAUUCAUGGUGUAGCAGUGAAAUGCGUAGAGAUCAUGAGGAAGACCAGUGGCGAAGGCGGGUCUCUGGACAGUUCCUGACACUGAGACACGAAGGCCAGGGGAGCAAACGGG